rnacentral:lncRNA from 7 species
GAUGUUUUCUGAAGAGUUAAGCCUGUUAUCAAAAUUUGGCUGGUACUGUGAAAUACAUGUAUGAGCAGAAGACUACUACAUCAUUUGAUAAGACUUUUACUCUUCCCCUUGUUAUGACAACUGUUCCUUGGGAGAACUUAAAGCCUUGUCUCAAAAACGAUUACUAGGAAGACCCUUCUCCUUCUCACUUUACAAUAUGUUGAGGUUUGAUUUGCAUAAGCAAAAAGAGUUGCUUCAGUUCUAAGAAGUGAAGAAGUACUUCAGGUCAUGCCUGAACUUCUAUGUCUCUCCAGUGCUCCAGAGAGUUUUACCGCUAUUUGUAAAGCCUGAAGAAAGUAAAGUAUCCUCCUCAAUAUUCUCCUGAAAUGGUUCAUUUGUUGAUCAUCAUUGCCUUACUUGCCAUCAUCUGUAGACAUUUUUGCUUUGAGUCUUCCAUUAGAAGAUUAUGUAUCGUGUUUAAACUUCAGAGUACAUAAAGACCAAUGGGUGCUGGGUAAGGAGAAGGAAGGAAAAAAAAUGGUGUAUUUUUCAGACUGUUUGUUAAUGCUUGGGGUCUUGGAUUUUCUCCUUGACAUUUUCCAUGUCUUUUCGUUUUGUCACUUGGCUGUAAAUAACAUACUUUCCUGGCCACUUAGAAAGGUAAUGUUCUCCUCGCUUGUCUUGUACAAUAGAGUUAUCAUUGAGCGGGGCAUUCCUGGCAGCCUAUUGAAGAGCUUUAAAUUGAAACAUCCUUUUAGUGCAGAGUAGUAAUCAAAAUGCUUGUGUGUUAUAUGGGAAAGAAGAAGUGACCAUUUUUCAAGUUUAUGGCACAGAGCUUUUCCCAUUGUUGUAAGAGUUCCAUCAUUAAAGAAGCCACCUUAAAUUGCCACAUAGAUCCCAAAGCAGUUCUAAAAAAUGUUUGUUUUAGGAGAGCAGUCUUUGGAUCAGUUGUAAUUGUAAUUGUAUUCUGGUGUCGUUAGUUCUCUGUGUGGCUUUCGUCUGUGUGUUCUUCAUCAUCCAGAAAGUACAUUCCAUUUUGAAGCAUUUACUCCUAAGUCCCGAAGUGAAAUAUGUUAUAUGAUAUUGUCUAUCGUCUCCAGCAAGUGUGCUGUUAGAGCUUCGUGUUUUCUUCUCAGCAAAUAUAUACUUUUUCUUUGAUUUUAAAAAAGCUAUAACACUGGGGGGUAUAUAUAUUACAGUAAGGUUGUGUUAUAUGUGCAUGAUAUGUCAUGAUAGCAAACUAUAAAUUAUAUUAAGUUCUGCCUUUAUAAUAUGAAGUGUUUUCUUACAAGAAAAAACUGAUACUUAUGUUCUUUUGAUAGAUUUUCAGGGAUUUAAAAAGAUAUGACCUAGAAAUAAAGGAG